rnacentral:rRNA from 1 species
ACGCUCGACACCUACGGGAAGCAGCAGUGGGGAAUAUUGCACAAUGGGGGAAACCCUGAUGCAGCGACGCCGCGUGAGCGAAGAAGUAUUUCGGUAUGUAAAGCUCUAUCAGCAGGGAAGAUCAUGACGGUACCUGACUAAGAAGCUCCGGCUAAAUACGUGCCAGCAGCUGCGGUAAUCUGAGCGGGCUGGCAAGGC